GCCUCGGUAGCUCAGAGCUUUAGCGAGUAAUUGGUAGAGCGGCUGACUGUUAAUCAGCAGGCCGGAUGUUCGAGUCAUCCCCGGGGCG
rnacentral:tRNA from 1 species